rnacentral:rRNA from 1 species
AUGAGUACGAUUAACCUCCUCAAGCGCAAAGCAGAUGGGAAGGAUUCUAUGCCGCCUAAUGACUCUUCCAUUAGCAGCAUAUUUAUGAAGCCUCUACAUGCUGCAUCGAGCAGGAUGUCCAAUAUGAGAUCAGAUAACAGAAAUUUACUUCGCCAUCUCAAUGAACUUAAGGAUACCCUAGCGAAAGCUAAGGACUUUCACGAACUGUUGCGCUUACCAAUUGGUUAUAAUGCAGAGAACCCCACCAUACCAUCAUCCAUUGUUCAUGUGGCUACAUCACUGCCACCUCUGAAAGUGAUUGGUCGUGAUAAGGAUCGUGAUCAUAUAAUAAAUCAUCUUACCAAGACAACUGGUACUUUUUUUUUUCGAGAAUGA